rnacentral:snoRNA from 1 species
UAGCUGUGACGAACUAGUGUCCACGGUGAUAGGUGGGUCUAUUACACUUCUCUGAUUUUCAGACGAUUGGUGACACAUCUGAGCUU